rnacentral:rRNA from 1 species
GACUCCAUGAAGCUGGAUUCGCUAGUAAUCGCGCAUCAGCCACGGCGCGGUGAAUACGUUCCCGGGCCUUGUACACACCGCCCGUCAAGCCAUGGAAGCCGGGGGUGCCUGAAGUGCGCUGCCGCAAGGAGCGUCCUAGGGUAAAACCGGUGACUGGGGCUAAGUCGUAACAAGGUAAC